GAUAGCAUGGCCUAGUGGUUUGAGUGUUGGACCAGGACUCCAGAGACCAGGAUUUGAUUCCCUGCCUGGCAGCG